rnacentral:rRNA from 1 species
AUUGAACGCUGGCGGCAGGCCUAACACAUGCAAGUCGAGCGAGCGGCGGACGGGUGAGUAAUGUCUGGGGAACUGCCCGAUGGAGGGGGAUAACUACUGGAAACGGUAGCUAAUACCGCAUACCAUCGGAUGAACCCAUAUGGGAUUAGCUAGUAGGUGGGGUAACGGCUCACCUAGGCGACGAUCCCUAGCUGGUCUGAGAGGAUGAUCAGCCACACUGGGACUGAGACACGGCCCAGACUCCUACGGGAGGCAGCAGUGGGGAAUAUUGCACAAUGGGCGCAAGCCUGAUGCAGCCAUGCCGCGUGUAUGAAGAAGGCCUUCGGGUUGUAAAGUACUUUCAGCGGGGAGGCGUUACCCGCAGAAGAAGCACCGGCUAACUCCGUGCCAGCAGCCGCGGUAAUUC